UAACAGGCCGUUCUCUGUUCUCAGAGAACAAUACACUGAGACUGCUGAAAACAUGACGCCGUGACAAGGACGAGAGACACCGACCGCCUGUAGACCAACAGAGAGAGGAGGAGGAGGAAGAUGUUGCAGGGCUGCAGGCUGCUGCUCUGGCAGGUGGCUCUCAGGUUGUCGUAUCACGUGGUAACAGCCAGUCUGUGUCUGGGGGGGUCAGACAUCUUUGCCUCGGUCAGAGAGAACAGUCCGACGGGUCAGUUCAUCUCCAACCUGAGCGUCACUGCAGAACCUGGAGCCAACACCGUCCGCCUCUGUCUGACCGGAGACAAC